rnacentral:misc_RNA from 1 species
UACUGAGUUAUUAAAACUCCAAACCCUUUGUGAACCUUACUGUCGUUGCCUCGGCGUGAGCUACGGCUACCCUGUAGUUACCCUAUAGCUACCCUGCAGCUACCCUAUAGUUGACCAGUAGCUACCCUGUAGUUACCCUAUAGCUACCCUGCAGCUACCCUAUAGUUGACAUGUAGCUACCCUGUAGCCGGCUUAUGGCCCGCCGAAGGACCGCUAAACUCUUGUUUUUUUACCACUGUUUCUCUGAAUUGUAAACUUAAAUAAGUUAAAACUUUCAACAACGGAUCUCUUGGUUCUGGCAUCGAUGAAGAACGCAGCGAAAUGCGAUAAGUAAUGUGAAUUGCAGAAUUCAGUGAAUCAUCGAAUCUUUGAACGCACAUUGCGCCCAUUAGUAUUCUAGUGGGCAUGCCUAUUCGAGCGUCAUUUCGACCCUUAAGCCCCUGUUGCUUAGCGUUGGGAAUCUACAGCGUAGUUCCUUAAAGUUAGUGGCGGAGUUAGGGUACACUCUCAGCGUAGUAAUCUUUCUCGCUCGUGUGGUGGCCCUGGCUGCUAGCCGUUAAACCCCUAUAUUUUCUAGUGGUUGACCUCGGAUUAG